rnacentral:rRNA from 1 species
AGGAUGAACGCUGGCGGUCUGCUUAACACAUGCAAGUCGAACGGAGUAGCAAUACUUAGUGGCGGACGGGUGAGUAACGCGUGAGAAUCUACCUUCAGGACGGAGACAACAGUUGGAAACGACUGCUAACCCCCGAUGUACUGAAAAGGCAAAUAUUUAUAGCCUGAAGAAGAGCUCGCGUCCGAUUAGCUAGUUGGAGAGGUAAAAGCUCACCAAGGCGACGAUCGGUAGCUGGUCUGAGAGGACGAUCAGCCACACUGGGACUGAGACACGGCCCAGACUCCUACGGGAGGCAGCAGUGGGAAUUUUCCGCAAUGGGCGAAAGCCUGACGGAGCAAGACCGCGUGGGGGAAGAAGGCUCUUGGGUUGUAAACCCCUUUUCUCUGGGAAGAACACAAUGACGGUACCAGAGGAAUCAGCAUCGGCUAACUCCGCGCCAGCAGCCGC